CCCAGCUUGCUGGGUUGAUUAGUGGCGAACGGGUGAGUAACACGUGAGUAACCUGCCCCUGACUCUGGGAUAAGCGUUGGAAACGACGUCUAAUACUGGAUAUGAUCGCCGGCCGCAUGGUCUGGUGGUGGAAAGAUUUUUUGGUUGGGGAUGGACUCGCGGCCUAUCAGCUUGUUGGUGAGGUAAUGGCUCACCAAGGCGACGACGGGUAGCCGGCCUGAGAGGGUGACCGGCCACACUGGGACUGAGACACGGCCCAGACUCCUACGGGAGGCAGCAGUGGGGAAUAUUGCACAAUGGGCGAAAGCCUGAUGCAGCAACGCCGCGUGAGGGAUGACGGCCUUCGGGUUGUAAACCUCUUUUAGUAGGGAAGAAGCGAAAGUGACGGUACCUGCAGAAAAAGCACCGGCUAACUACGUGCCAGCAGCCGCGGUAAUACGUAGGGUGCAAGCGUUGUCCGGAAUUAUUGGGCGUAAAGAGCUCGUAGGCGGUUUGUCGCGUCUGCUGUGAAAUCCCGAGGCUCAACCUCGGGCUUGCAGUGGGUACGGGCAGACUAGAGUGCGGUAGGGGAGAUUGGAAUUCCUGGUGUAGCGGUGGAAUGCGCAGAUAUCAGGAGGAACACCGAUGGCGAAGGCAGAUCUCUGGGCCGUAACUGACGCUGAGGAGCGAAAGCAUGGGGAGCGAACAGGAUUAGAUACCCUGGUAGUCCAUGCCGUAAACGUUGGGCGCUAGAUGUAGGGACCUUUCCACGGUUUCUGUGUCGUAGCUAACGCAUUAAGCGCCCCGCCUGGGG
rnacentral:rRNA from 1 species